rnacentral:rRNA from 1 species
CUCCAGACUCCUACGGGAGGCAGCAGUGGGGGAUAUUGCACAAUGGGGGGAACCCUGAUGCAGCGACGCCGCGUGAGCGAUGAAGUAUUUCGGUAUGUAAAGCCCUAUCGGCAGGGAAGAAGCAAGACGGUACCUGACUAAGAAGCCCCGGCUAACUACGUGCCAGCAGCCGCGGUAAUACGUAGGGGGCGAGCGUUAUCCGGAUUCACUGGGUGUAAAGGGAGCGUAGACGGCCAAGCAAGCCAGGGGUGAAAGCCCGGGGCCCAACCCCGGGACUGCCCUUGGAACUGCGUGGCUGGAGUGCAGGAGGGGCAGGCGGAAUUCCUGGUGUAGCGGUGAAAUGCGUAGAUAUCAGGAGGAACACCGGUGGCGAAGGCGGCCUGCUGGACUGCAACUGACGUUGAGGCCCGAAAGCGUGGGGAGCAAACAGGAUUAGAUACCCCCGUA